rnacentral:sRNA from 1 species
AAUACAUGGACAUUGGUUCAGAGACCUG